rnacentral:rRNA from 1 species
AUGCACGCUGGUGGCGUGCCUAACACAUGCCAGUCGAGCGAUUCUCUUCGGAGAAGAGCGGCGGACGGGUGAGUAACGCGUGGGUAACCUGCCCUGUACACACGGAUAACAUACCGAAAGGUAUGCUAAUACGAGAUAACAUGCUUUUAUCGCAUGGUAGAAGUAUCAAAGCUUUUGCGGUACAGGAUGGACCCGCGUCUGAUUAGCUAGUUGGUGAGGUAACGGCUCACCAAGGCGACGAUCAGUAGCCGACCUGAGAGGGUGAUCGGCCACAUUGGAACUGAGACACGGUCCAAACUCCUACGGGAGGCAGCAGUGGGGAAUAUUGCACAAUGGGCGAAAGCCUGAUGCAGCAACGCCGCGUGAGCGAUGAAGGCCUUCGGGUCGUAAAGCUCUGUCCUCAAGGAAGAUAAUGACGGUACUUGAGGAGGAAGCCCCGGCUAACUACGUG